AAAUGCCCCAAUACCAUCCUGAACAUACUGAUCUUAUCUGACCUCAAAAGCUAAGCAGGGUCAGGCCUGGUUAGCACUUGGGUCAGGCCUGGUUAGUACUUGGAGGGGGAGAGA
rnacentral:rRNA from 1 species